UACGGAGGGUGCGAGCGUUGUCCGGAAUCACUGGGCGUAAAGGGUGCGUAGGCGGGUUUUUAAGUCAGGGGUGAAAUCCUGGAGCUCAACUCCAGAACUGCCUUUGAUACUGAAGAUCUUGAGUCCGGGAGAGGUGAGUGGAACUGCGAGUGUAGAGGUGAAAUUCGUAGAUAUUCGCAAGAACACCAGUGGCGAAGGCGGCUCACUGGCCCGGUACUGACGCUGAGGCACGAAAGCGUGGGGAGCAAACAGG
rnacentral:rRNA from 1 species